AAUGAACGUUGGCGGCGUGGAUUAGGCAUGCAAGUCGAGCGAGAACCGGUUUCGGCCGGGGACAGCGGCGAACGGCGUAGUAAUGCAUCGGAACGUACCCUCUGGUCGGGGAUAGCUACAGGAAACUGUAGGUAAUACCCGAUGAUCUCUGCGGAGCAAAGGUGAGAUUCCGCCGGAGGAGCGGCUGAUGUGAUAUUAGCUAGUUGGUGGGGUAAUGGCCUACCAAGGCGAUGAUGUCUAGGGGGUGUGAGAGCAUGGCCCCCACGACCGGAACUGAGAUACUGGCCGGACACCUACGGGUGGCUGCAGUCGAGAAUCUUCCGCAAUGGACGAAAGUCUGACGGAGCGACGCCGCGUGCGGGAUGAAGGCCCUUGGGUUGUAAACCGCUGUCAGAGGGGAUGAAAUCUUCGGAGGUACUCCUCCGAAGUUGACAGAGCCUCAAAGGAAGCACGGGCUAAGUACGUGCCAGCCGCCGCAGUAAGAC
rnacentral:rRNA from 1 species